rnacentral:rRNA from 1 species
GUGCCAGCAGCCGCGGUAAUACGUAGGUGGCAAGCGUUGUCCGGAUUUAUUGGGCGUAAAGCGAGCGCAGGCGGUUUUUUAAGUCUGAUGUGAAAGCCUUCGGCUCAACCGAAGAAGUGCAUCGGAAACUGGGAAACUUGAGUGCAGAAGAGGACAGUGGAACUCCAUGUGUAGCGGUGAAAUGCGUAGAUAUAUGGAAGAACACCAGUGGCGAAGGCGGCUGUCUGGUCUGUAACUGACGCUGAGGCUCGAAAGUAUGGGUAGCAAACAGGAUUAGAUACCCUGGUAGUCCAUACCGUAAACGAUGAAUGCUAAGUGUUGGAGGGUUUCCGCCCUUCAGUGCUGCAGCUAACGCAUUAAGCAUUCCGCCUGGGGAGUACGGCCGCAAGGCUGAAACUCAAAGGAAUUGACGGGGGCCCGCACAAGCGGUGGAGCAUGUGGUUUAAUUCGAAGCUACGCGAAGAACCUUACCAGGUCUUGACAUACUAUGCAAAUCUAAGAGAUUAGACGUUCCCUUCGGGGACAUGGAUACAGGUGGUGCAUGGUUGUCGUCAGCUCGUGUCGUGAGAUGUUGGGUUAAGUCCCGCAACGAGCGCAACCCUUAUUAUCAGUUGCCAGCAUUAAGUUGGGCACUCUGGUGAGACUGCCGGUGACAAACCGGAGGAAGGUGGGGAUGACGUCAAAUCAUCAUGCCCCUUAUGACCUGGGCUACACACGUGCUACAAUGGAUGGUACAACGAGUUGCGAACUCGCGAGAGUAAGCUAAUCUCUUAAAGCCAUUCUCAGUUCGGAUUGUAGGCUGCAACUCGCCUACAUGAAGUCGGAAUCGCUAGUAAUCGCGGAUCAGCAUGCCGCGGUGAAUACGUUCCCGGGCCUUGUACACACCGCCCGU